UCAAGGACUAACCCCCUAUUCGUUCUUUUUGUUUUUUUGAUAUCAAAAUUCUCUCCUUCUCUCUAACGACAGCGACCACCACUACCACCCCCUCCGACAUCACCUCCGCCAUUACUAAUAGAUUCAGGAACACCUCCACUAAUCCCACCACUAGUUCUAGCACAAUCUUCAGUACUUCCAUCAAGUCCACCAACACAUGUACUAAAUUCUCCAAUCGAAUCUAAAGCUCAGAUCCAUUUUCGAUAUCAAUUGGAUUUGUCUUGAAGGAUGUUCGAUGAUAACAGUUAGUUCUUAAGGAUUUGUCCGCAUCGAUUUAGGAAGAGAAGAUAAAAAUCGUCAUCAAUUUAGGAAGACAAGAUGAAAAUCGUCAUCAGUUGUUGGAUCUGAAAUUUCACUUGUCCAUGACCCUAAUUUCAGAUUUUCUUCUUCUUCAGAUCCAUAAUUAAUUCAGUGGUGGAUCAGUCAUGGUGGUGGUGGAACAAUGGAGUUGGAGGUGGUGGUGGUGGAAUGGUAUUAACAUUGCAGUAAUAUGCAAGCAUACAAGUGCAUUAACACUUUUGGUGCCACGUCUUUUUUAAGGUAAUUUGAAAUAUUAAAUCAGUGUUGUUUUUACGUUUAUCUUUUUUGUGUUGAUGGUUCAAAGACCCUUCACGAUGAAUCUGUAAUUUCGGAAGGGAGUCAGUCUGCAAACUAUUCUAGCUAGACUCUGUUUUAACUUUUAAGUGAAUGAAAUGCUUAAAUUAUGUAAAUUUUGAUACUCAAGGAAGGUUUGGAUUAAUUAGUUACAGCUAGGUUGAGAAA